UACAGAGGUCUCAAGCGUUGUUCGGAUUCAUUGGGCGUAAAGGGUGCGUAGGUGGCGCCGUAAGUCAGGUGUGAAAUUUCCGGAGCUUAACUUCGAAACUGCAUUUGAUACUGCGGUGCUUGAGGACUGGAGAGGGAGACUGGAAUUUACGGUGUAGCAGUGAAAUGCGUAGAUAUCGUAAGGAGACCAGUGGCGAAGGCGGGUCUCUGGACAGUUCCUGACAGCUGAGGCACGAAGGCCCAGGGGAGCAAACGGG
rnacentral:rRNA from 1 species